rnacentral:rRNA from 1 species
CAGCCGCCACGGGAAUACGAAGGGGGCUAGCGUUGCUCGGAAUGACUGGGCGUAAAGGGCGCGUAGGCGGCGGCCAAAGUCAGGCGUGAAAUUCCCGGGCUCAACCUGGGGGCUGCGUUUGAUACUUGGUUGCUUGAGUGGGGAAGAGGGUCGUGGAACUCCCAGUGUAGAGGUGAAAUUCGUAGAUAUUGGGAAGAACACCGGUGGCGAAGGCGGCGACCUGGUCCUUUACUGACGCUGAGGCGCGAAAGCGUGGGGAGCAAACAGGAUUAGAUACCCCCGUAGUCCCUGUCUCUUAUAC